rnacentral:misc_RNA from 1 species
GGUCAGCCCAGUGUAAUUUGGAUGGGUAACCAUAGACGUGAGAAUUGUCUCUAUUUCAUGGAAUUCAUCCCGAGUUUCGAUGUGAUUGUUCUUUCUUCUGGCCACCACAACUGUCCUCCCACAAUUUCAUUGCUCAAGACAUAGACAGAUUGCUUGGCAAACCAAUGGCCAGAAGAAAGAACAAUCACAUCGAAACUUGGGAUGAAUUCCAUGAAAUCCU